AUUGAACGCUGGCGGCAUGCCUUACACAUGCAAGUCGAACGGCAGCACGGGAGCAAUCCUGGUGGCGAGUGGCGAACGGGUGAGUAAUAUAUCGGAACGUGCCCAGUCGUGGGGGAUAACGCAGCGAAAGCUGUGCUAAUACCGCAUACGAUCUACGGAUAAAAGCGGGGGAUCGCAAGACCUCGCGCGAUUGGAGCGGCCGAUAUCAGAUUAGCUAGUUGGUGGGGUAAAGGCCCACCAAGGCGACGAGCUGUAGCUGGUCUGAGAGGACGACCAGCCACACUGGAACGGAGACACGGUCCAGACUCCUACGGGAGGCAGCAGUGGGGAGUUUUGGACAAUGGGCGCAAGCCUGAUCCAGCAAUGCCGCGUGCAGGAUGAAGGCCUUCGGGUUGUAGACUGCUUUUGUACGGAACGAAACGGCCCUUUCUAAUACAGGGGGCUAAUGACGGUACCGUAAGAAUAAGCACCGGCUAACUACGUGCCAGCCGCCGCAGUAA
rnacentral:rRNA from 1 species